CUCCCUCACGUUUACCACAUACUCACUCACUCUCUCUGUACAAAAGACGAAAAAAGAAAGAAAACAAGGGGAGGACUUUUUCCUCUUCAUCUCCAACGCACCUCCAUACAAACACUCAUCACUCACAUUUCUCUCUUUUCUCCCUCACAGAAAAACCCUUCAUUCCCUCAUCCUUCACCGUCCAUCAACACCGCCUUCCACCAUAACCUUCAUCCACCUUGUUCAAACCACCGUCAAAAAUCCAAAACCGCCUCCUUCCUCCCAACGGUGCCUUUGCCGUCGCCGACCCUCCAACCUGCUCCGCCGCGCGCUGUUCGUUUUCCGGCGAUCUCUCCGCCAAGAAAUGAGCCAGUAAAUCCGAAGAAUUGACAGAAUCCCUGCGUAUGCGUGUGUAACCGAAGUUCUGUUUCUGCCGGGCGUUUCAUCGGUGUAUAUUGAUGUCGCGUUAGAGUUGCGAACAGUCGGAUGCCGCUGUUGGUGUGCAGGUCCGGUACGAUAAGGUCCCGUUAUUAUGAGCGGAUGGACUUAUGCUGUUUUUUUAUUAUUUUAGCACGAUGACAGAUUUGUUCAUUUGUUUCUAGUGUACCAGAUUUCCCUGCUGCUAUUUUGUUUGCUACUUCAUAAACUUUUCUAUUUCUGAUAUUGGUACUUCACAAUGAAGAGUUACUGUCUUUUUGGUCGGAUUUCCCUCUUGGUCUGCUAGAGAAUGGUGUACUUAAAGUGUUUGUAUACAAGGGCCUAAUUCGAUUUUGCAGAACUUAA